rnacentral:rRNA from 1 species
GACGAACGCUGGCGGCGUGCUUAACACAUGCAAGUCGAACGGAAAGGCCCUGUUGUUUUGUGGUGCUCGAGUGGCGAACGGGUGAGUAACACGGGAGUAACCUGCCCUGUACUUUGGGAUAACUUCAGGAAACUGGGGCUAAUAACUGCUAGGAGCACCUGCUGCAUGGUGGGGGUUGGAAAUUUUCGGCGGUUGGGGACGGACUCGCGGCUCAUCAGCUUGUUGGUGGGGUAGUGGCUUACCAAGGCGUUGGCGGGUAGCCUGCCUGAGAGGGUGACCCGCCCCAUUGGGACUGAGAUACGGCCCAGACUCCUACGGGAGGCAGCAGUGGGGAAUAUUGCACAAUGGGCUGAAGCCUGAUGCAGUAACGCCGCGUGCGGGAUGACGGCCUUCGGGUUGUAAACCGCUUUCGCCUGUGACGAAGCGUGAGUGACGGUAAUGGGUAAAGAAGCACCGGCUAACUACGUG